CCUACGGGGGGCAGCAGUGAGGAAUAUUGGUCAAUGGACGAGAGUCUGAACCAGCCAAGUAGCGUGAAGGAUGACUGCCCUAUGGGUUGUAAACUUCUUUUAUAUGGGAAUAAAAUGUUCCACGUGUGGGAUUUUGUAUGUACCAUAUGAAUAAGGAUCGGCUAACUCCGUGCCAGCAGCCGCGGUAAUACGGAGGAUCCGCGCGUUAUCCGGAUUUAUUGGGUUUAAAGGGAGCGUAGGUGGAUUGUUAAGUCAGUUGUGAAAGUUUGCGGCUCAACCGUAAAAUUGCAGUUGAAACUGGCAGUCUUGAGUACAGUAGAGGUGGGCGGAAUUCGUGGUGUAGCGGUGAAAUGCUUAGAUAGCACGAAGAACUCCGAUUGCGAAGGCAGUUCACUGGACUGCAACUGACACUGAGGCUCGAAAGUGUGGGUAUCAAACAGGAUUAGAUACCCCGGUAGUC
rnacentral:rRNA from 1 species